AAUAGCCAAGAGCUCACAGCUGAGAUAGAUGGAGAGGUAAGAGCAGCAGGAGCAGCUGCAAUAAUGAGCCUUAUCCAUGAGAGCCUCAAAGCUGAGUGGUCAAGGAAACAUUGUUGGAAACACAGCUUUUGUGUGCUUGGCUUAGUGAUGCAGGUCCUGAGAAAGUGAGUGACUGAGCAUGGAUUGGGAUAUGUGAAGUCAAGUGAAUCUAAUUUGAUUCACAAGUGAGUAUCUAAUGGGAAGUGAGUUCAAAAUGACUUUUAUUCAGUGACAGCAACUUUAAAUGUCUAUACAACUGAUCUUCAAGGUCGUUUAUUACCCCAGGGAUGUGUGAAGUUGCUGUAAUCAGAAUCUAAUGGAAUUAGGUGCAUGUGUCAAUUGGGCAUGGACUUAAAAUAACUUUUUUCCACCCAGUUGACAGCACCUUUUAAUGUCCAUACAACUGACUUUCAUGGUCAUUUAAAAACAUGUCUUAGUAGCAAAUAUUUGCUUAUUUUGUGCCAAUCAUGAUGGCUAAUAUAAAAUUGACUAUGCAUUGGAAAAUGCUUGGCAUAUCAAAAGCUUUAAUAUAAAGCCAGAGAAGUCAAAGCAAAUGGGAUAUAUUGUAAUGGGUUAAAAUACCAUGUAUGCUGUCAAAGGGACUUUAUAUUUACUUGUCCUCUGUGCUCCCCAUUAUUCUAGAUUUAAAAUGGGGAUAUUAGAACUUCCCUUUUGAUUGGUUGUUGUGGAGACCAUGAAUGCCUGAUUUUGUUAGAAAUGGAUGGGUUUGAAAUUUGUGCUUUAUAUUUAGUUAGUGGUGUGGUAUUCACUUUUCCAUGGUGGGAGGGCAGGGGGAUAUAUAUUAAUUGUCUUUACUUUUCCAGGAUGACUGAAUUCUAGUGCUCCACAAACAGGAAGGAAAAGUGAAUUUGUAAAACAAGUACACUUUUGAGUUGACCCCGUAUUUUCCUAAUCUGCCCUAUCCCCAUACUCAUUCUCAUUUUCAUCCUUUCCUGAUUGUCCAAGCUUUUUCACACUACUUCUAACUUCAACUAAACUAGUGAAUAGACUGCACCACUAAAAUGAAAUUUUUUUUAGUAAAACAACAUUUAAAAGGACACAAGGUGUCUGCAAUGAGGAAAAGGGGGCACAUCCCAAUCCCACGCCAGAACAUUUCUUCAAUAUGAACUACUUUUUGACAAGGACUAAUCCAGAAGAAAUUGGCUACCCCAGAUGAUGAAAAGGCACUCCUCUGGACACCACUGAGCAUCAAAAUGAUUCUUGACUUUUGUAUAUUUCUAUAAAUGUGAAAAAUGGCACACAAA